UACGUAGGUGGCAAGCGUUGUCCGGAAUCAUUGGGCGUAAAGCGCGCGCAGGCGGUCCUUUAAGUCUGAUGUGAAAGCCCACGGCUCAACCGUGGAGGGUCAUUGGAAACUGGGGGACUUGAGUACAGAAGAGAAGAGUGGAAUUCCACGUGUAGCGGUGAAAUGCGUAGAGAUGUGGAGGAACACCAGUGGCGAAGGCGACUCUUUGGUCUGUAACUGACGCUGAGGCGCGAAAGCGUGGGGAGCAAACAGG
rnacentral:rRNA from 1 species